rnacentral:rRNA from 1 species
AGUGAACGCUGGCGGUAGGCCUAACACAUGCAAGUCGAACGGCAGCACAGUAAGAGCUUGCUCUUACGGGUGGCGAGUGGCGGACGGGUGAGGAAUACAUCGGAAUCUACUUUUUCGUGGGGGAUAACGUAGGGAAACUUACGCUAAUACCGCAUACGACCUACGGGUGAAAGCAGGAGAUCUUCGGACCUUGCGCGAUUGAAUGAGCCGAUGUCGGAUUAGCUAGUUGGCGGGGUAAAGGCCCACCAAGGCGACGAUCCGUAGCUGGUCUGAGAGGAUGAUCAGCCACACUGGAACUGAGACACGGUCCAGACUCCUACGGGAGGCAGCAGUGGGGAAUAUUGGACAAUGGGCGCAAGCCUGAUCCAGCCAUACCGCGUGGGUGAAGAAGGCCUUCGGGUUGUAAAGCCCUUUUGUUGGGAAAGAAAAGCAGCAGGCUAAUACCCCGCUGUUCUGACGGUACCCAAAGAAUAAGCACCGGCUAACUUCGUG